rnacentral:rRNA from 1 species
GGGUUGUGAGGUUAAGCGACUAAGCGUACACGGUGGAUGCCCUGGCAGUCAGAGGCGAUGAAGGACGUGCUAAUCUGCGAAAAGCGUCGGUAAGGUGAUAUGAACCGUUACAGCCGGCGAUGUCCGAAUGGGGAAACCCAGUGCAAUUCGUUGCACUAUCGUUAACUGAAUACAUAGGUUAACGAGGCGAACCGGGGGAACUGAAACAUCUAAGUACCCCGAGGAAAAGAAAUCAACCGAGAUUCCCCCAGUAGCGGCGAGCGAACGGGGAGCAGCCCAGAGUCUGAAUCAGCUUGUGUGUUAGUGGAACGGUCUGGAAAGUCCGACGGUACAGGGUGAUAGUCCCGUACACCAAAAUGCACAGGUUGUGAACUCGAAGAGUAGGGCGGGACACGUGGUAUCCUGUCUGAAUAUGGGGGGACCAUCCUCCAAGGCUAAAUACUCCUGACUGACCGAUAGUGAACCAGUACCGUGAGGGAAAGGCGAAAAGAACCCCGGCGAGGGGAGUGAAAAAGAACCUGAAACCGUGUACGUACAAGCAGUGGGAGCACCUUCGGGUGUGACUGCGUACCUUUUGUAUAAUGGGUCAGCGACUUAUAUUCUGUAGCAAGGUUAACCGUAUAGGGGAGCCGCAGGGAAACCGAGUCUUAACUGGGCGUUAAGUUGCAGGGUAUAGACCCGAAACCCGGUGAUCUAGCCAUGGGCAGGUUGAAGGUUGGGUAACACUAACUGGAGGACCGAACCGACUAAUGUUGAAAAAUUAGCGGAUGACUUGUGGCUGGGGGUGAAAGGCCAAUCAAACCGGGAGAUAGCUGGUUCUCCCCGAAAGCUAUUUAGGUAGCGCCUCGUGAACUCAUCUUCGGGGGUAGAGCACUGUUUCGGCUAGGGGGUCAUCCCGACUUACCAACCCGAUGCAAACUACGAAUACCGAAGAAUGUUAUCACGGGAGACACACGGCGGGUGCUAACGUCCGUCGUGAAGAGGGAAACAACCCAGACCGCCAGCUAAGGUCCCAAAGUCAUGGUUAAGUGGGAAACGAUGUGGGAAGGCACAGACAGCCAGGAUGUUGGCUUAGAAGCAGCCAUCAUUUAAAGAAAGCGUAAUAGCUCACUGGUCGAGUCGGCCUGCGCGGAAGAUGUAACGGGGCUAAACCAUGCACCGAAGCUGCGGCAGCGACACUAUGUGUUGUUGGGUAGGGGAGCGUUCUGUAAGCCUGCGAAGGUGUGCUGUGAGGCAUGCUGGAGGUAUCAGAAGUGCGAAUGCUGACAUAAGUAACGAUAAAGCGGGUGAAAAGCCCGCUCGCCGGAAGACCAAGGGUUCCUGUCCAACGUUAAUCGGGGCAGGGUGAGUCGACCCCUAAGGCGAGGCCGAAAGGCGUAGUCGAUGGGAAACAGGUUAAUAUUCCUGUACUUGGUGUUACUGCGAAGGGGGGACGGAGAAGGCUAUGUUAGCCGGGCGACGGUUGUCCCGGUUUAAGCAUGUAGGCUGGUUGUCCAGGCAAAUCCGGAUAACCAAGGCUGAGGUGUGAUGACGAGGUACUACGGUGCUGAAGUAACAAAUGCCCUGCUUCCAGGAAAAGCCUCUAAGCAUCAGGUAACAUCAAAUCGUACCCCAAACCGACACAGGUGGUCAGGUAGAGAAUACCAAGGCGCUUGAGAGAACUCGGGUGAAGGAACUAGGCAAAAUGGUGCCGUAACUUCGGGAGAAGGCACGCUGGUGUGUAGGUGAAG